rnacentral:rRNA from 1 species
CAAGAACGAACGCUGGCGGCAGGCUUAACACAUGCAAGUCGAGCGCCCCGCGAAGGGAGCGGCAGACGGGUGAGUAACACGGUGGGAACCUACCCUUUUCUACGGAAUAACGCAUGGAAACGUGUGCUAAUACCGUAUACGCCCGUUCGGGGGAAAGAUUUAUCGGAGAAGGAUGGGCCCGCGUUGGAUUAGCUAGUUGGUGGGGUAAAGGCCUACCAAGGCGACGAUCCAUAGCUGGUCUGAGAGGAUGAUCAGCCACAUUGGGACUGAGACACGGCCCAAACUCCUACGGGAGGCAGCAGUGGGGAAUAUUGGACAAUGGGCGCAAGCCUGAUCCAGCCAUGCCGCGUGAGUGAUGAAGGCCUUAGGGUUGUAAAGCUCUUUCACCGGAGAAGAUAAUGACGGUAUCCGGAGAAGAAGCCCCGGCUAACUUCGUG